rnacentral:pre_miRNA from 2 species
GGGUUCCUGGGGAUGGGAUUUGCUGCCUAUCACAAAUCACAUUGCCAGGGAUUUCCA